rnacentral:rRNA from 1 species
GAGAGUAGCUUGCUACUUUGCCGGCGAGCGGCGGACGGGUGAGUAAUGUCUGGGAAACUGCCUGAUGGAGGGGGAUAACUACUGGAAACGGUAGCUAAUACCGCAUAACGUCGCAAGACCAAAGAGGGGGACCUUCGGGCCUCUUGCCAUCAGAUGUGCCCAGAUGGGAUUAGCUAGUAGGUGGGGUAACGGCUCACCUAGGCGACGAUCCCUAGCUGGUCUGAGAGGAUGACCAGCCACACUGGAACUGAGACACGGUCCAGACUCCUACGGGAGGCAGCAGUGGGGAAUAUUGCACAAUGGGCGCAAGCCUGAUGCAGCCAUGCCGCGUGUAUGAAGAAGGCCUUCGGGUUGUAAAGUACUUUCAGCGGGGAGGAAGGUGUUGAGGUUAAUAACCACAGCAAUUGACGUUACCCGCAGAAGAAGCACCGGCUAACUCCGUGCCAGCAGCCGCGGUAAUACGGAGGGUGCAAGCGUUAAUCGGAAUUACUGGGCGUAAAGCGCACGCAGGCGGUCUGUCAAGUCGGAUGUGAAAUCCCCGGGCUCAACCUGGGAACUGCAUUCGAAACUGGCAGGCUAGAGUCUUGUAGAGGGGGGUAGAAUUCCAGGUGUAGCGGUGAAAUGCGUAGAGAUCUGGAGGAAUACCGGUGGCGAAUGCGGCCCCCUGGACAAAGACUGACGCUCAUGUGCGAAAGCGU